AUAAUAUUCCUUUGUCCCAGACUGAAGACUCUUGAAUGAAGAAUAUAAUUAGCAUCAGACAAUGCUCACUGUGAAUUAAGAGACUUUCAAUUCCAUUGUAUGUUAAUUCUGUGAAGUCUACUUCGAUUAUUCUUUUAUGAUUUAUUUUUAAAUUGCUGCAAAGCACUGGAGUCUAUUCUUCUUGGAAAGUGACGUAUAACAAGCUGUGGGAUGUUCUCAUGGAAGGCAUCACGUUGCCUUCUCAUGCAGUGGCUUUACCAUUUUUGGUUGCAGUAUCGCAGGGAAAAUUUGAGGGCAAUUCAGGUUCCUGAACAGAUCUACCCAGUACCAUUUUAGAUAUCUGACAUGUUCAAACCCUCUAUCUAGAACUGACAGAUCAAGUAUGGAACCUAUUGGUCCACAAGGUUCACGGAUAGUUGACUGCAAGGCAUAGCUCCAGUAGCUGGCUCCUAUGUAACGCAAUACAGAUUAUGUAUUGCAUAUUCAUGUGCCAAUGGAAGAAUAGCAUUGUUCACUAACACUGGAGUUGUUUAGGGGAAAUUAUCCCCUUGGGUUAAUAGUCAGUUCAUCGCUUGCUUACUCAAUGUCAUGCCUAGAACAUCUUAGCCAGGAGAGACUUGCAUAAGAAAGGGAGUGGAAACAAAGAGGCUUGUAUGGUCGGAAACCAACUGGUUUAAAUAAAUCAGUGAAUGUGCAAGUUGUCUUCUUUGAUAAUAAGAAAUAACAGAAGUCUCUGUUUCACUUGUGCAACCAAGGAGCUGACAGCCAAGUAGAAGGCAGUCCAUGUUUCAACAGAUUGAUUAUUUAUUUAUUUAUUUUCCCCUAGCAGUUAGGAAAUCCCACUCCUCUACCUGUGAUGGUCUUGGCUGCAAAUUUCACAGGACAGGUUGACCUGAGCUGGCCAGUUCCUCAGACUGAGAGAGUCCUCUAGGGAGCACAGAUCAGCAGCAGAGGCACAAAACGCAUGGUGUAUCCUCCUUGAACUUGGCUGCAGCCCUGCUCUGCUGUUGGCUGCCCUUUCCCAACUCAGCUUUUAGCAUUGCAGGGUAUGUCAUCACUGCUAUGAUAUACACUCGUUAGGACAGAAUUAGCCCUGUAAUGGCCAAGAGUUGGGAAUGGUUCUGGUGCCUGAGUAUGGAGCUGCUGGUGAAUGUGGAGAUCCCAGUGGUGAACCACUGGAACACAGACACAGAACUUCCAGGAGUGUUUCAGCCUCUACUACAAAACCUAAUUGGUUGUGCUGGCUCUAUUAUAGGAAAGAGUUCAACAGAAAAGGGAAAAAAGAGGACUCUUUUCUUGCCCACGCUCUAUGUGGCUGUGUUCAGAGCAGAACUCUUCCUGAAUAAUGUCAAAAUUACUUUUUUGAAAGAAAAUGACACUGUGCUGUCUUUUAUGGUGCUAAGGACAAGUGAAACCAAGAUUUAGUACCAACACUAAUCAUCUGUCCAGUAGCUUUUGGGAGAUUUUGAAUCCUGUCACAGACAGGGUUGCAGCAUGUUUCUUUCCAGAAAUGAAAAGUCACAGAAAAGGAAGGGAGUGAUGCAAAGCCUCUGGAAGAUGGUAGUGCUGGAGAGGCUUAAUGCUUUCUGUUAUGAAGGAGAUAAGGUGUGUAAGCAACUUUUGGUUUAUUCAUUUGUUUCUAAUUAUCUAUACUGCCUACAAAACCCCACCAGAAGCAGGAGGAGAAAAACAGGAUAUAAAGCUCCUUAGGGCUGUUCUUGGUACCUGAAAGCUAGACAAACAACCCAGGAGCACAAGAGGGCGAAAAAUGACAUAUUGUUUUAACACUUUCUGCAUGUGUCUCUGAAACACUGUGUGACAAUUGGAUUAGUAGUCAACGGAUAUCUCUUCAUUAACAAGGGGGUGGAGUAAUAGCUUGGUCAGAACAUGCUAUGGACAGAGUGGCUGUGUGUUUCCUUGCAGAUCCAGUCAAUGAAUCCCAGAGCACCUCUAUUUAUAGAGCAAGUACCGGCGUCGAACUAAGGUGUGCCGGAUGCUCACUGUGCUAGGCUGGAACUUGCAGGCGCCAUCUAAGACCAGAAUCCAGCUUUCUAGGCAUGUUCCAAGCACGUAGUGAAGGGGGUUUUCAGCCUGCAUGAAGUCCACUGUUCCUAGGGCGCAAAAACAGCUACCAGACACUCAGAUUCCCAUCAGACCACUCUUUGAGCAUAUUUAAAUUAGAUUUCUGGGCUUUCUCCUUCAGUUAGAGAAAGUACUUCCAAGAUCACGUCAUUUACUGGUUAGGAGUAGCCGUCGCUGUGUUUGGCAAGGAGCUGUAUGUUUUAGAGCAGUGUGAGAGCACAUAGUAUAUGCCAGUGAUUGCUCUUCUAGAAAAACGAAUUGGCCAGGAUCCUCAGAUGUACUGCUGCAGGCUUCAGUGUGUCUUCUGUAUCAUUUGGCAAAGACCCAAGGGAGUAAACUGAGGCAUAGCAAAGUGUUUAGGCUUUUCUAAGGGCAUUUGCAGUAACAAAAUGAGAGAAGUCGUUACAAUAUCUUAUUCCUAUACUACCCUUUAGUCCAGCUAGCUGAUCUCAGUGUGCAAGGGUGUUAAGUGACUGAAGUAUUCUGGGUGAAGUUUGAAUUUGGGAACCACUCCAUGCCCUCUUUUCUUGUUCUAUGAAUUUCAUUAUAAAAUCUUUAUAGUACAUAUUUAGAACUGUAUAAUCAUGUUUCAGAUCUGGGUGUCACCACUUCUUUAACAGCUCACCAAAGGUAGGUAUUGACCCACAGACCAGGUCUGUUCCUGCCUGUAGUCUUGAAAUGCUCAUUCCUGCGGCCUACAUGGGAAGCCUCUAAGAAAAGAAAUAAGAUAAAAUUACUCUAGAUAUCUUUAGAAACUCAUUACUGAACGUGGUGCCUGAGCUUAAGGGAGGAAUAUGGAUUACUUGCCUUAAGAUAGGGAUUUCUUGCUUCAGGCAUGUGUUAAGACUUCAGCUAUGCUUUAUCUCCAGUGUAAUAAGCUGUCUAUGGCGAGAGCUAAUGGGGAGAGAUUGGUGGCUGAGAGUGCUACAGGUUAAAGGCAUUGAUCAUCCCCACUGGAAUAAGUUCUCCUGCAGCAAGUGACCUUUUCUGAGGCAAAAUUGUAUUAAGAAAUAUUUCUGAACUUCUUAGCUUGCAUUUAUUUUCAGCAAAUGAAGAAAAUUUAAAAUAGCAGUAUGUUUCAUAAUUUGCGUAAUACUGUCUUUUUCCUAACAGUACACUAGGGAUGAAUGGUAGAAGUUUAUGUCCUAUUGCAUAAAUAACCAAUUCAUGCAGAUCCUUCCUGAUUUUUCAUGUGUUUGGAUACAUCUGCAGCACAAUGAUGGGCUUCUCCUUGGAGAUUUUUGUUCCUUGUUUUGCAUUUCACUGCUUAUGAUAGGGACUUAAGGGAAUAACCCAAACUUCCUUAUCUGUAACUUUCUAUUUCUUUUCAGUAGCUUCCAAGAGAGUGGCUCCUUUAUCUUUCCUAUCAAAUGAUGUAUGUAAGAUCUUCCAGAUCUGUGUAUAUUUUUAACUUUCAGGUUUUUAGACCCAACUUGGAACAUGAAGGAACUCCAACAGUUUUCAUGCAGGCAGUUCUCGCUUUAAUGGCUUGCUGUCUGCCUUUGGUACUGCCUAAUAAUGCUGAGUUCUUCCAGAAUGGUUAAUGCAUUUGGGUGGCCAGUUUAGCAUCUAUUUGGGUGUCAGAUGAUCAGAUAAUGGAAUCAUAGAAUCAUUUGAGUUGAAAGAGACCCUUAGAGGUCAUCUAGUCCAACUGCCCAGCAAGGAUGCCUACAGACAGAUCAGGUUGCUGGGAGACCCGACCAUCCUGACCUUGAAUGUCUCCAAGAAUGGGGCAUCCACCACCCAUCUGGGCAACCUAUGCCAAUGCUUCGCUAUCCUUAUCAUAAAAGUCUUUUUUUUCUUAUAUCUAACCUAAAUCUCCUCUCUUGUAGUUUGCAACCAUUUCCCCUUUUCCUAUCACAUCAGGCCCAGCUAAAGAGUCUGUUCUUUCUUAUAGUCCCCCUUUAGAUGCUGAAAGGCUGCAAUAAUGUCUCUUUGGAGCCUCUUCUCUAGGUUCUAGAUCUCCUAGGAAAGUCUGAAAUCUCUGACAGUGGCAUGAGAUGUGGGUCUUGACAUCCUUAUUCAGGCAGCAUGAAGUGAGGCUACUCUUUGAGUGGGAUCAGGAACUAAAUCUGCUUUGUUCUCUUGUUCAUCAAAUCCCAGGUGUCAUCCAAAAAAAAUGACUGGAGCUUUCCUCUGAUCGAAUUAACUGAACAGAUCUUACAGCCUGUGUUUGACUUUCUAGGUGCUGAAUUGCAUUCUUGAGAGAUGAGGAGCAAGGGAAAAAAUAUAAUUAGUAAGAGCCAAAAGUUGGUGGCAUGGACUUGAGUACAUGAAAGAACAGCAACACCAUCAUCUUUGUCCCAGUUGCCUCUCUUGAGAUUUACAUGGCUGAACAUGUGUGUAGGAAGAGCUGCAGUGCUGGCUUUCUGCCAUGACAUUCUUCUCUGGGGACUGAAGGGGAUUAAAGUGGCUUCCUUGUGUGCUGGGUCUUCAGUCAACUGAAGUCUUUAUAAACGUGAUGUGUUCCAGUUAGUAUACACCCGAAAGGUGACUGUGUGCUGGAUCAGGGCAUUUCUGCAUAAAGAUUUAGUUUACAUUGGAGGACUUACUUGAAAUCCACAGUAAUGUUUCAAAGUGAAGGUAUCACAUAAUCAAAUCCAUCUCCAGAAUAAGACCCCUUUCCAUUUCUAUUUUCAUAUGGGGAGCUAAAUAAAUAUACUUAAUACAAUCAAAAUGCACAAGCCCAAGUAAUGAAAUAAAAGUCUCCAAAGAUAGUGAGGACAUGCUGCAUCUGCAUUCAAGGAGUAAUUUUUGCAAUGAGAUAUUUCCAGAUCUUGGUGUCCACAUCAACCUUGCAUCAAAUACCUUCCCCACAUCUGCACUAAUCCCCAGAUUCACUGUAAAGGGAUGGUAUUUGCAGGUUGUGGAAAAUACUCUGCUGUGAAUGUUGAGUUGCAUUUAGGAAUCAUUUGUCCAGAGCGGUUGCAAAGCAAGCUCAGUUCAUGCAGUUUCAGCUGUGUGCUCCCUCCAGAGGAUUGUGUCAGACAGGAAAGGCCUGUAACUUUUAAAAAAGUCAUGGCUGGUCUCCCAUGGGGCUCAGAUUGCCCUUCUCCAUCCUUGGGGAAUAUAUUAAUUUUCCAAUGCAUUUGUGUGGUUGUAGAGAGAGAAAGGAUGGUGUAAGAUCUUGGAACAAAACACGAGGCUGGGAUUUAAGCAAGUUUGAGGCUAGAGGGGAAUAGGCCUGAAUAGGCCUCCUCUUGGGUUGUUAAGCACUGAUUUAUUGAGAUGAUUUACCUAAAUGCAAGCACCCUUAAGCUCAAGUUUGAUUUCAGUGUGGUGAAAGAGAAAGCUGUGCUUUGAAAACAAUACAGACAACUGAUCAACACAAGAAAAAGAUUUUGGAAGGAGGUGUAUUCAUGCAAUACAGAACUAUAUGAGGGCUGCUGAAAGAAGGGACUUGUCACAUGAGACCUUAUCAGUAGAAAUGUCCUACCGGUAUCUACUUCAACUCUACAGUUUGCAAAUGUCUUUGGAAGGUGGGUAGUGGUGUAAGAAUGAAUAGCAGAAAAAAAAAAAAAAAAAAAAAAAAAAAAAAAAAAAAGAACUGGUCAGAAAAAUAAAUUAAUAUGUAGAUCAUACAAUGUAUGCAACCGUGUUCUCAGUGG
ensembl:lncRNA